rnacentral:rRNA from 1 species
UGCAAGUCGUACGAGAAAGCCUCUGCUUGCAGAGGCGAGUAAAGUGGCGCACGGGUGAGUAACACGUGGGUAAUCUGCCCUUGAAUUGGGGAUAACAUUGCGAAAGCGAUGCUAAUACCGAAUGACAUCCAUGAGACCUCGGUUUUGUGGAUUAAAGGUGGCCUCUUCUUGAAAGCUACUGUUUGAGGAUGAGCCCGCGUCCCAUUAGCUUGUUGGUAGGGUAACGGCCUACCAAGGCAACGAUGGGUAGCUGGUCUGAGAGGAUGAUCAGCCACACUGGAACUGACACACGGUCCAGACUCCUACGGGAGGCAGCAGUGAGGAAUUUUGCGCAAUGGGGGAAACCCUGACGCAGCAACGCCGCGUGAGUGAUGAAGGCCUUCGGGUCGUAAAGCUCUGUCAAGUGGGAAGAACCCGCAUUUGGCUAAUAUCCAUUUGCGCUGACGGUACCACUGAAGGAAGCACCGGCUAACUCCGUGCCAGCAGCCGCGGUAAUACGGGGGGUGCAAGCGUUACUCGGAAUCAUUGGGCGUAAAGGGCGCGCAGGCGGCCUGGUAGGUCAGAUGUGAAAGCCCGGGGCUCAACCCCGGAAGUGCAUUUGAAACCACUUGGCUUG